GGACAGGUAGCUCAGUUGGUAGAGCGUCCGCCUGAAAAGCGGAAGGUCGGCGGAUCGAUGCCGCCCCUGUCCACCA
rnacentral:tRNA from 2 species